rnacentral:rRNA from 1 species
UACGUAGGGUGCGAGCGUUAAUCGGAAUUACUGGGCGUAAAGCGUGCGCAGGCGGCGCGUUAAGACAGGUGUGAAAGCCCCGAGCUUAACUUGGGAAUUGCGCUUGUGACUGGCGUGCUGGAGUGUGGCAGAGGGAGGUGGAAUUCCACGUGUAGCAGUGAAAUGCGUUGAGAUCGUGAGGAACGCCCGUGGCGAAAGCGGGCUCCUGGGCCCCGCCUGACGCUGAGACGCGAAAGCCAGGGGAGCGAACGGG